rnacentral:lncRNA from 1 species
GUGGAGCUCAAUUGCGCCUUAUUUUGCACAAGUGACUGUCACUGCCAUCUGUAAUGUGCAUGGAUCAGCUGCAGGCAACAGCCUUGAUUUUCAUUUCUUGCCGUGGUGAAUUGAUUUUUAACCAAAGUGUAGAAAGAGAUUCUUGGAAUGCCUGAUUAUUACAAAUAGGAAGCCAAGAGUAUUUUCACUUUCCAGUAGUUAAUGAAAAAAGCAAUUUUGAUUGUCCUUGUUGCUUCAUAUAAAAGAAAAUGUCGUAAGCAUCAGCCAAAUGUUGUCAUGACUCAAUAGCCUAUGGUACACUGCAUCUUCACUGAAGUGAUUGAUUCUCUGACUUUGCUCAUUAUUUUUCAACUAUUUUGAAUGGUGUGGGUUGAAUAAAAUCCACAAUUACAUUUUUGUGCUUUGUAAAAUGAAAAUGAAUCUUAUCAUGAAGGGAAAAAAAUUUAACUCAUUUUCUUGAAAUACUGUCUCACUCUCCUAUAUUGGGUAACAUGAUAAUCUUCUGUGGCUCUGCCUCUGAAGCAAAAGUAAGGAGAUGGCUUCAUGUAAAUAAAGAAGCCAAUUUUAUCAUGUUUUUAAAUACAAUGGACUGCUUUAUGAAGUGGUGAAGAAAUGUACUAGGAUUUUAUCUGGAAAGGGGGAGAGUGAUACUUUGAGAAGUAAGUUGUAGUCCCUUUGUAGCAGCUAAAAAAAAUCAGGCAAUGCAGAUUUAUUAUUGUUUCUUUGCCUUGCUUUAAAGUUCUGAUAGACUUAACCACAGUUCAGAACUUUAAGCAUUUCUAUGGUGCUCCGAGACAAAAGACUCAGAAAGAACAAGGAGUAAAGUGAAGCUUUUGCCUAUAACUUGAGAAACAAUAAUCUUAUCUUUCUGUUGAACCAAGCUUCUUGUUGGGAAUAUAUUCUCUAAAAUCUGAUUUUAAGAAAAUUAUCAUUUCCCUCUUAAAAACAAUGUAAAAAAUAACAAAACAAAGGCUAAGCAAACAGUGGAGACUCCUCAGUGACACAGUGUUUAGCAGCACAUAGAAAAUCAUCUGUAUUUUUAAAGUUUGAAAUAGUUUUCUUUUGUAUAAUAUACAAAUAUAUGCAGAGAAGAAACAUUUAUAAUGAAUUUUAGCAUAUUAUAUACCAUAUAGUCAAAAUAAGUAAUAGAAAUAUAUACUAGAUGACACUAGAUAAUGUGCUAGAAAUAUUAGAUAAUAUAACUAUAUAGACAAUUGAUUAAAGGAUUCUAUAUAUUAAGGAACAGGCCUACUCUAUUUUUAGAGGCCAAUCUCAUUUCCAUUAGAAUACUGACAGCUUGAAUCAAAUGGUUUCUGAUUGACUGAAACAAUUGGAGUUAUCAAUACUUUACAUUAAUUUGAUUCCCAAAUACGUGUAGUGUACUGCCAUUACACCUCAAAUGGAUUCUCUUGGGAGGAAAUAAAUUCAUGAUUAACCAACAGAUUCUGGCUAUUGACCAGGUUUUUGUUUUUGAGAGAAGG